UCUUUUCCUUUUUUUCCCUCCUCCUCUUUCCUCCUUCUUCUUCUAUCUUUAUCCUUAUUUAUUUUGUUUAAAGGGAGCGUAGACGGGUUUUUAAGUCAGCUGUGAAAGUUUGGGGCUCAACCUUAAAAUUGCAGUUGAAACUGGAGGCCUUGAGUACGGUUGAGGCAGGCGGAAUUCGUGGUGUAGCGGUGAAAUGCUUAGAUAUCACGAAGAACCCCGAUUGCGAAGGAAGAAUGAUAAGAAGAAAAGGAAGGGGAGGAGAGAAAGGGAGGGGAGAAAAAAGG
rnacentral:rRNA from 1 species